GACGGGGGGGGCUAGUGUUAUUCGGAAUGACUAGGCGUAAAGGGCACGUAGGCGGUGAAUCCGGUUGAAAGUGAAAGUCGCCAGCUCAACUGGCGGAAUGCUUUCAAAACCAAUUCACUUGAGUAAGAUAGAGGAUAGUGGAAUUUCGUGUGUAGAGAUAAAAUUCACAGAUAUACGAAGGAACACCAAAAGCGAAGGCAGCUUUCUGGGUCUCUACUGACGCUGAGGUGCGAAGGCAUAGGGAGCAAACAGG
rnacentral:rRNA from 1 species